rnacentral:rRNA from 1 species
GACGAACGCUGGCGGCGUGCCUAAUACAUGCAAGUCGAACGCAUUUUCUUUCACCGUAGCUUGCUACACCGAAAGAAAAUGAGUGGCGAACGGGUGAGUAACACGUGGGUAACCUGCCCAUCAGCGGGGGAUAACACUUGGAAACAGGUGCUAAUACCGCAUAAUUCCAUUUACCGCAUGGUAGAUGGAUGAAAGGCGCUUUUGCGUCACUGAUGGAUGGACCCGCGGUGCAUUAGCUAGUUGGUGGGGUAACGGCCUACCAAGGCUGCGAUGCAUAGCCGACCUGAGAGGGUGAUCGGCCACACUGGGACUGAGACACGGCCCAGACUCCUACGGGAGGCAGCAGUAGGGAAUCUUCGGCAAUGGACACAAGUCUGACCGAGCAACGCCGCGUGAGUGAAGAAGGUUUUCGGAUCGUAAAACUCUGUUGUUAGAGAAGAACAAGGAUGAGAGUGGAAAGUUCAUCCCUUGACGGUAUCCAACCAGAAAGCCACGGCUAACUACGUG